rnacentral:rRNA from 1 species
UACGAAGGGGGCUAGCGUUGCUCGGAAUGACUGGGCGUAAAGGGCGCGUAGGCGGCUUGUAGAGUCGGGUGUGAAAUUCCUGGGCUUAACCUGGGGGCUGCAUUCGAUACGUAUGGGCUUGAGUGCGGAAGAGGGUCGUGGAAUUCCCAGUGUAGAGGUGAAAUUCGUAGAUAUUGGGAAGAACACCGGUGGCGAAGGCGGCGACCUGGUCCGUGACUGACGCUGAGGCGCGAAAGCGUGGGGAGCGAACAGG